CCAAAGAUCAGUUGCAACCAUAUUGUCUUUGUCACUUCCAUCAUCCUCAUUUUCCAAAGAAACUCAAAUUCCCCCUUGGCCUAUUAAUUACACUCAGGAAGCAAGCUGAUUGCGCUAGCUGCUGAUAUAAUGAUGCCUCUGUAACAGAUCUCUUGCAUAGCAGAAGGUAGAAGCAUGCUGCAUUGGAAGAGAAACAAGGGAAAUACAUGCCAAAAAGAGAUGCACAAGAGAUGCAGACUGUUUAAAUUGAAGGAGAACUUCUCCCGCUUUUUAUUAUCUUCAUUUCCCUGUCUCGACAAAUAAUUAUUCAGGGAUUUACAGAUACCGUAGAUACAUCUGACUAAUACUUGUGAUUUUACAGGUUUUGAGGAAAAAUAAUAAAAGAAAAAACGCCCCUUCAA